UACGUAGGGUGCGAGCGUUGUCCGGAAUUACUGGGCGUAAAGAGCUCGUAGGUGGUUUGUCGCGUUGUUCGUGAAAACUCACAGCUCAACUGUGGGCGUGCGGGCGAUACGGGCAGACUGGAGUACUGCAGGGGAGACUGGAAUUCCUGGUGUAGCGGUGGAAUGCGCAGAUAUCAGGAGGAACACCGGUGGCGAAGGCGGUUCUCUGGGCAUUACCUGACGCUGAGGAGCGAAAGUGUGGGGAGCGAACGGG
rnacentral:rRNA from 1 species